UACAGAGGGGCAAGCGUUGUUCGGAAUUACUGGGCGUAAAGGGCGCGUAGGCGGCCUGCUAAGUCGAACGUGAAAUCCCCGGGCUCAACCCGGGAACUGCGUCCGAUACUGGUUGGCUUGAAUCCGGGAGAGGGAUGCGGAAUUCCAGGUGUAGCGGUGAAAUGCGUAGAUAUCUGGAGGAACACCGGUGGCGAAGGCGGCAUCCUGGACCGGCAUUGACGCUGAGGCGCGAAAGCCAGGGGAGCAAAGCAGG
rnacentral:rRNA from 1 species